AUGGAAGUGUCAAAGGAAUCUGCAAAUAAAAGAAAAUAUCAUUCGAGUUACUUAUUGAUAGUUGUGUGGCAUGGAGAGCGUUCGAUGGUUUGAAAAGAUUGUAACAUUUUUGACACAAUCAUGGCUAUAAAGGGUGAGAUACUCGAUUCUGGUGCACGAGGACCGACGAUGGACGGAUGAUACUUGGAUAUACGACUGAGAAGCUCGUUCAGAUUGUCGAGCAGACUACCGGCGUAGAAACAAAGUCUUGGAAACUUUUGCUGCUUUGUCGGAGGAUGCGUGUACCUCCAAGUCACGGCUCGUAGCAUUUUAUUUCAUGACGCUCUCGUUGCGCUUUGUUAUGCUCUCCAGCUUCGUGUAAGCCGUCAGGAAGGCGCCGUUUAAAACUGCCGCUGCCACCAUUGAGCAAUGUCUAACACGAACGAAAG